UCCGGUGUCGAUGCGCUUAGGGGAAACACCCGUUCCCAUCCCGAACACGACGGUUAAGACCUAAGCGGCCGAUGGUACUGCAUUGGAGACGAUGUGGGAGAGCAGGUGGGCGCCAGAU
rnacentral:rRNA from 1 species